GAUGAACGCUGGCGGCGUGCUUAACACAAGCAAGUCGAACGAAGCACUUUAUUUGAUUUCCUUCGGGACUGAUUAUUUUGUGACUGAGUGGCGGACGGGUGAGUAACGCGUGGGUAACCUGCCUUGUACAGGGGGAUAACAGUUGGAAACGGCUGCUAAUACCGCAUAAGCGCACAGCAUCGCAUGAUGCAGUGUGAAAAACUCUGGUGGUAUAAGAUGGACCCGCGUUGGAUUAGCUAGUUGGUGAGGUAACGGCCCACCAAGGCGACGAUCCAUAGCCGACCUGAGAGGGUGACCGGCCACAUUGGGACUGAGACACGGCCCAAACUCCUACGGGAGGCAGCAGUGGGGAAUAUUGCACAAUGGGCGAAAGCCUGAUGCAGCGACGCCGCGUGAGCGAAGAAGUAUUUCGGUAUGUAAAGCUCUAUCAGCAGGGAAGAUAAUGACGGUACCUGACUAAGAAGCACCGGCUAAAUACGUGCCAGCAGCCGCGGUAAUACGUAUGGUGCAAGCGUUAUCCGGAUUUACUGGGUGUAAAGGGAGCGCAGGCGGUGCGGCAAGUCUGAUGUGAAAGCCCGGGGCUCAACCCCGGUACUGCAUUGGAAACUGUCGUACUAGAGUGUCGGAGGGGUAAGCGGAAUUCCUAGUGUAGCGGUGAAAUGCGUAGAUAUUAGGAGGAACACCAGUGGCGAAGGCGGCUUACUGGACGAUAACUGACGCUGAGGCUCGAAAGCGUGGGGAGCAAACAGGAUUAGAUACCCUGGUAGUCCACGCCGUAAAAGAAGAAAAAUUAGGGGUUGGGAAGCAAUGCUUUUCGGUGCCGUCGCAAACGCAGUAAGUAUUCCACCUGGGGAGUACGUUCGCAAGAAUGAAACUCAAAGGAAUUGACGGGGACCCGCCCAAGCGGUGGAGCAUGUGGUUUAAUUCGAAGCAACGCGAAGAACCUCACCAAGUCUUGACAUCCUUCUGACCGGUACAUAACCGUACCUUCUCUUUGGAGCAGGAGUGACAGGUGGUGCAUGGUUGUCGUCAGCUCGUGUCGUGAGAUGUUGGGUUAAGUCCCGCAACGAGCGCAACCCUUAUCUUUAGUAGCCAGCGGUCAGGCCGGGCACUCUAGAGAGACUGCCAGGGAUAACCUGGAGGAAGGCGGGGAGGACGUCAAAUCAUCAUGCCCCCUAUGACUUGGGCUACACACGUGCUACAAUGGCGUAAACAAAGGGAAGCAAAGCUGUGAAGCCGAGCAAAUCUCAAAAAUAACGUCUCAGUUCGGACUGUAGUCUGCAACCCGACUACACGAAGCUGGAAUCGCUAGUAAUCGCAGAUCAGAAUGCUGCGGUGAAUACAAUCCCGGGUCUUGCACA
rnacentral:rRNA from 1 species